GUGAGGAAUAUUGCGCAAUGGAGGCAACUCUGACGCAGCCAUGCCGCGUGCAGGAAGAAGGCGCUACGCGUUGUAAACUGCUUUUAACCGGGAAGAAACCCCAGGACGUGUCCUGGGUUGACGGUACCGGAGGAAUAAGCACCGGCUAACUUCGUGCCAGCAGCCGCAGUAAUACGAAGGGUGCAAGCGUUAUCCGGAUUCAUUGGGUUUAAAGGGUGCGUAGGCGGAGCGUUAAGUCAGUGGUGAAAUCCUGCAGCUUAACUGUAGACUUGCCAUUGAUACUGGCGCUCUUGAGUGCGCUUGAAGUGGGCGGAAUGUGCCGUGUAGCGGUGAAAUGCUUAGAUAUGGCACAGAACACCAAUUGCGAAGGCAGCUCACUAAGGCGAUACUGACGCUGAGGCACGAAAGCGUGGGGAUCGAACAGGAUUAGAAACCCUAGUAGUCC
rnacentral:rRNA from 1 species